AUUGAGAGUUUGAUCCUAGCUCAGGAUGAACGCUGGCGGCGUGGAUAAGGCAUGCAAGUCGAACGAUUUAUUUUUUGAACGAGAUCGAGAUUACAUCAAAGUUAAGCGAUAAAAAUAAGUAGUGGCGAACGAGUUAGUAACACCCUGGUACAUACCAUAGAGUUUGGCAUAGCUUGUCGAAAGACGAGGUAAUUCCAAAUAUUCCCCGCUUUCGCUUUUUGUUUCACAAAAAGCUUCAGCGGGCAAGUCGUAAGGCCUGUCCGCCGUAGCUCAAGUGGAACGCAGAGCGAAGGCGGGGCAAAGUCGCAAGACGCUUUAUGAUUGGCCUAGGCCCGAUCAGCUAGUUGGUGAGGUAAUAGCUCACCAAGGCUACGACCGGUAGGAGGGCUGAGAGGCUGACCUCCAACGACGAGACUGAGACACGGCUCGUACACCUACGGGUGGCAGCAGUCGAGAAUAUUCCACAAUGGGCGAAAGCCUGAUGGAGCGACGCCGCGUGCGGGAUGAAGGCCUUCGGGUCGUAAACCGCUUUUCCACGGGAGAAAUCUUCGGAUGAUAGUACCGUGGGAAUAAGAGGUUGCUAACUCUGUGCCAGCAGCAGCGGUAAUACAGAGACCUCGAGCGUUAUCCGGAUUUAUUGGGCGUAAAGCGCGAGUAGGAGGUUUGGUAAGUUUGGCGUUAAAUCUCAGGGCUUAACCUUGAGGCCGCGUUGAAUACUGCCAGACUAGAGGGCGCCAGAGGCAAAUGGAACAGCCGGUGUAGGGGUGAAAUCCGUUGAUAUCGGCUGGAACACCAAAGGCGAAGGCAUUUUGCUGGGACGUUCCUGACUCUCAUUCGCUAAAGCGUGGGUAGCAAAAAGGAUUAGAUACCCUUGUAGUCCACGCCCUAAACAAUGUCCGCUAGCUGUCGGGAGUAUCGACCCUCUCGGCGGCGAAGCUAACGCGUUAAGCGGACCGCCUGGGAAGUACGAACGCAAGUUUAAAACUCAAAGGAAUAGACGGGGACUCGCACAAGCGGUGGAGCAUGAGGUUUAAUUCGACGGUACGCGAGGAACCUUACCAGGGUUUGAAACCCCAACGAACGGCCGAGGAAACUUGGUCAGUCUUCACAAGAGACGUUGGGGCAGGUGCUGCAUGGUUGCCGUCAGCUCGUGAUUUGAAUUGUUCCCUUCAGUGGGGUAACGAGCGCAACCCUUAUCUCGUGUUAUAUGUGUCACGAGAGACUGCCGUGUUUAACACGGAGGAAGGCGAGGAUGACGUCAAAUCCGCAUGGCCCUUUGAUACCCUGGGCCACACUCAUGCUACAAUGGAUGGUACAAUGGGUUGCCAAACCGUAAGGUGGAGCCAAUCCCAUCAAAACCAUCCCCAGUUCGGAUUGAGGGCUGAAACUCGCCCUCAUGAAGUUGGAAUCGCUAGUAAUCGCGCAUCAGCUAUGGCGCGGUGAAUACGUUCUCGAGUCCUGUACUCACCGCC
rnacentral:rRNA from 1 species